GUCUCCGUGGCGCAACUGGUUAGCGCGUCUGACUGUUAAUCAGGAGGUUGACAGUUCGAGCCUGUCCGGGGACG
rnacentral:tRNA from 1 species